rnacentral:rRNA from 1 species
CAGUAGCCGCGGUAAUACGUAGGUGGCAAGCGUUGUCCGGGAUUAUUGGGCGUAAAGGGCUCGCAGGCGGUUUCUUAAGUCUGAUGUGAAAGCCCCCGGCUCAACCGGGGAGGGUCAUUGGAAACUGGGAAACUUGAGUGCAGAAGAGGAGAGUGGAAUUCCACGUGUAGCGGUGAAAUGCGUAGAGAUGUGGAGGAACACCAGUGGCGAAGGCGACUCUCUGGUCUGUAACUGGCGCUGAGGAGCGAAAGCGUUGGGAGCGAACAGGAUUAGAUACCCCCGUAGUCCCUGUCUCUUAUAC